rnacentral:lncRNA from 1 species
AGACUUUCUUUUUCUUUCUAGAGGAAUUCUGCCCAGACUCUGCAGCAGUUGGUAGCAGGCAAGCUUUCUCCUGGGUGUCUCCUUGAAAAGUUGCAAAAUUGCUCUUCACCUGUAAGAACAUGCUCUUUAUCUUCCAGUCUCUUCUUGUCAAUUUGGAAAUUGCAGACAGCCCGGCUCAGACUUCCCUGUGUGUAUAUUAGAAGUCUUCCCGGUGCCAGGAAUCAACAAAGAGAUCAGAAAACCAGAAAUAUUUUCCCUGCAUUCUAUAUUUUAUCAGACUUUAGCCAAAAUUUUUCAUGCUUCUUAUGGAAAAAUCAACACAAAAAUCCCGUACUUUUGUCAAUUGAAGAUAUUACAGUUCUAUAACAGUGUGACAGAAGGCUACCAAGUCAUGAUGGAGAAAAACAUGAAACCAUUGAUUCAGUUCAUUGCAAAUUCAUUCCACCAAACCUUACCUGGCUCUUGUUGCUGCUUGGUAGUACUUUUAUUAAUCUCUUGGAGACUCGCUGAUUAGUUUCCUCCACUGAUUGUCUAAAAGCU